rnacentral:rRNA from 1 species
UACGUAGGGUGCAAGCGUUGUCCGGAAUUAUUGGGCGUAAAGCGCUCGUAGGCGGUUUGUUGCGUCGGCUGUGAAAUCCCGAGGCUCAACCUCGGGUCUGCAGUCGAUACGAGCAAACUAGAGUGUUGCAGGGGAGACUGGAAUUCCUGGUGUAGCGGUGAAAUGCGCAGAUAUCAGGAGGAACACCGGUGGCGAAGGCGGGUCUCUGGGCAACAACUGACGCUGAGGAGCGAAAGCGUGGGGAGCGAACAGG